AACACAUGCAAGUCGAGGGGAAACGACAUCGAAAGCUUGCUUUUGAUGGGCGUCGACCGGCGCACGGGUGAGUAACGCGUAUCCAACCUGCCCACCACUUGGGGAUAACCUUGCGAAAGUAAGACUAAUACCCAAUGAUAUCUCUAGAAGACAUCUGAAAGAGAUUAAAGAUUUAUCGGUGAUGGAUGGGGAUGCGUCUGAUUAGCUUGUUGGCGGGGUAACGGCCCACCAAGGCAACGAUCAGUAGGGGUUCUGAGAGGAAGGUCCCCCACAUUGGAACUGAGACACGGUCCAAACUCCUACGGGAGGCAGCAGUGAGGAAUAUUGGUCAAUGGACGAGAGUCUGAACCAGCCAAGUAGCGUGCAGGAUGACGGCCCUAUGGGUUGUAAACUGCUUUUAUAAGGGAAUAAAGUGAGUCUCGUGAGACUUUUUGCAUGUACCUUUAUGAAUAAGGACCGGCUAAUUCCGUGCCAGCAGCCGCGGUAAUACGGAAGGUCCGGGCGUUAUCCGGAUUUAUUGGGUUUAAAGGGAGCGUAGGCCGGAGAUUAAGCGUGUUGUGAAAUGUAGAUGCUCAACAUCUGCACUGCAGCGCGAACUGGUUUCCUUGAGUACGCACAAAGUGGGCGGAAUUCGUGGUGUAGCGGUGAAAUGCUUAGAUAUCACGAAGAACUCCGAUUGCGAAGGCAGCUCACUGGAGCGCAACUGACGCUGAAGCUCGAAAGUGCGGGUAUCGAACAGGAUUAGAUACCCUGGUAGUCCGCACGGUAAACGAUGGAUGCCCGCUGUUGGUCUGAAUAGGUCAGCGGCCAAGC
rnacentral:rRNA from 1 species